CAAGGAGUUUUCCGCAAUGGGCGAAAGCCUGACGGAGCAACGCCGCGUGGGGGAUGACGCCCUUCGGGGUGUAAACCCCUUUUCUUGGGGACGAAGCAGUGACGGUACCCGAGGAAGAAGGCCCGGCUAACUACGUGCCAGCAGCCGCGGUAAUACGUAGGGGCCGAGCGUUGUCCGGAGUUACUGGGCGUAAAGCGCGCGCAGGCGGCUCGUCAAGCCUGACGUGAAAGCCCCCGGCUCAACCGGGGAGGGUCGUCGGGGACUGGCGAGCUUGAGGUCGGCAGGGGCUGGUGGAAUUCCCGGUGUAGUGGUGAAAUGCGUAGAGAUCGGGAGGAACACCCGUGGCGAAGGCGGCCAGCUGGGCCGGACCUGACGCUGAGGCGCGAAGGCGUGGGGAGCGAACGGG
rnacentral:rRNA from 1 species